ACAAAGGUGAUCAUCCUGCAGGGAUGGAUGACACAAUCCAGGCCUUCAGCAGCUAUCGAAACUGAUGAUGGGGGUAUCGGGUGCAGGAACAAGAAGGGUGGCAGGAGCGGGCAGGAGCAGCGUGCAGGGUGUGCUGACCCCAGGGCCAACAGUUGUGUUGUGCUGCUUGCUGGCUGCUGGCAGUUCCAGGUGGGACAUGGAUUGUGACGUGACAGUUGAGCUAGAGAGCCUUUGGUUCCAUGCUUAGCAACGUUCCCCCAGACCAUGGUGCUCAGAGCCCUGUUCCCAAGGAUGGGGCAUCCACAGCCUGGGCCAGUGCCUCAGCAGCCUCAGUGGGAAAGAGCAGCUUCCUGAGAUCCAACCUCAAUCAGCCUCCUGCAGCUGAAAGCCAUCGCCCCUUGUGCUGUUGCCACAGGCCCUGUUGAACACUCUGAACACUCUGUCCCAGCCUUUCUUGUGGGACCCUUGCAGUCCUGCAUCAGGAACUGAGCGAUGGAAGCUUCAGGCCCAGGUUGAAAUGAAGCUUGGCACAAUAUCCAUUUUCUUCUCCAUUUGUGAAACACGGAACAAAGUCUGGGCAAGCUGAUGUUGCAGAGGAAAAUCUGCAAAUGUACUGGUUAUCCUGAGCCUGGAGGAUGAAGUUAAAGCCAGCCAAAAGCAAUUUCUGGAAAGUCAA